rnacentral:rRNA from 1 species
UACGAAGGGGGCUAGCGUUGCUCGGAAUUACUGGGCGUAGAGCGCACGUAGGCGGAUCCUUAAGUCGGUGGUGAAAUCCUGAAGCUCAACUUCAGAACUGCCUUCGAUACUGGGGACCUUGAGUUCGGGAGAGGUGAGUGGAACUGCGAGUGUAGAGGUGAAAUUCGUAGAUAUUCGCAAGAACACCAGUGGCGAAGGCGGCUCACUGGCCCGAUACUGACGCUGAGGUGCGAAAGCGUGGGGAGCAAACAGG